ACUGCUUGCUCCAUAGGAAAUGUUUGAUUUUUUUUUUAAUUUUAAAUAACAUAAAAAAUGAGACAGAGACAUGUGUUGAACAAAGAAAUGGCAAACGGCUCAAUUGUUUGAUGUGUGUUAAAAAAUUAUUGUGGAUUUUUAGCUGUGGCUUAUUUUCGAUGACCAGGGGAACCUUAGGAAAUUCAAUAAAUAAUCACUAUGUUGAUAAACAUUUCACAAGGAAUUUUUUCUAACAAGUGGCAUGACAGCAAGCAACCCUGCAAUCUGUAGCAAAUCGCUAAAUAAAGGAGAGCUAUCAGGAGAAAAGAAGAAAGGGGAAACGAGAAAAGGAGAGGGGAGAAAAAGGAAAUGGAAAGACAACUAAACAUCAAACCGAUGGCUUUGGUGCAGGCACAUCCUCCUGCAGAGAAAAAGAAGGAGAACUGGUAAAUGACACAGAUAGCAUGCUAAGGAUAUGGAAAGAACAUUGUGUUUACAGAAUGUUUACCUCCUAGUCAGAAUGAGGUCGAAGUAGCAGUGACCCGACUAAAGAAUAACAAGGCAGCAGAAGCCGACGGGUUACCCGCUGAACUAUUUAAGACCGGAGGCGACAUGAUGAUAAGGCGUAUGCAUCAGUUUAUAUGCUAGAAGAACGCAUACAAGAGACAAGAUGGAAUGUGCUAAUAAGUCUCCUCCCCAUCGCAUACAAGAUACUCUCGAGCGUACUGUGUGAAACCUUUUUAAAUUAAAACCUAAAGUCAAUGAGAUAGUUGUGCCAUAUCAAUGCGGCUUUAGACCUGCUAAAUCCACCAUGGAUCAGAUAUACAUACUGCGCCAAAUCCUGGAAAAGAUCCGAGAAGGAUAAAUUAACACCUACCAUAUCUUUGUUGACUACAAAGCCGCUUUCGAUACCCCUUUACGUUCA